AACGGACGCUGGCGGCAUGCCUAACACAUGCAAGUCGAACGAGACCUUCGGGUCUAUUGGCGCACGAGUUUGUAACGCGUGGGAACCGUCCCUUAUGUUCGGAAUAACUCCCCGAAAGGGGUGCUAAUACCGGAUAAUGUCUUCUGACCAAGGAUUUAUCGCCUUUGGAUGGUCCCGCGUUGGAUUAGCUAGUUGUUAGGGUAAAAGCCUACCAAGGCGAGGAUCCAUAGCUGGUCUGAGAGGAUGAUCAGCCACACUGGGACUGAGAAACGGCCCAGAAUCCUACGCGAGGCAGCAGUGGGGAAUAUUGGACAAUGGGCGAAAGGCUGAUCCAGCAAUGACGCGUGAGUGAUGAAGGCAUUAGGGUUGUAAAGCUCUUUUAACCGGGAUGAUAAUGACAGUACCGGGAGAAUAAGCUCCGGCUAACUACGUG
rnacentral:rRNA from 1 species